AACGAACGCUGGCGGCGCGCCUAAUACAUGCAAGUCGAGCGAGAAGGUGUAGCAAUACACCUGUAAAGCGGCGAACGGGUGAGGAAUGCAUGGGUAACCUACCCUCGAGUGGGGAAUAACUAGCCGAAAGGUUAGCUAAUACCGCAUACGUUUCCGGAACUUCGGUUUCGGAAAGAAAGCAAUACCGUGGGUAUUGCGCUCCUGGAUGGGCUCAUGUCCUAUCAGCUUGUUGGUGAGGUAACGGCUCACCAAGGCUUCGACGGGUAGCUGGUCUGAGAGGACGAUCAGCCACACUGGCACUGCGACACGGGCCAGACUCCUACGGGAGGCAGCAGUAAGGAAUAUUGCGCAAUGGACGAAAGUCUGACACAGCGACGCCGCGUGGGGGAUGAAGGUCUUCGGAUUGUAAACCCCUUUCGGGAGGGAAGAUGGAGUGGGUAACCACUUGGACGGUACCUCCAGAAGCAGCCACGGCUAACUUCGUGCCAGCAGCCGCGGUAAU
rnacentral:rRNA from 1 species